ACUUCCUGCCCUGGGCCCUGGGGACAGGGACAGGCAGAGCUCUGUGUGGACACCCAGGGCGGAGCAGAGGGGCAGAAGGCCCGGAUGGUGCAGUGGGCAGAGGCAGCACAGUGACAAGUGGUCUUUGCAGUGAGAUAUCCCUGCAGCCUGUGGCUGUGAUGGGAGGGGGACGAGACCAGGUGUGGGGAGGUGACCCUUGGGGUCUCAGGAGGCCAUGGCCCUCACAGCAGGAAGGAAUCAGCCCUGUUGGGGGUGGUACCUGUGUCCUGUACAGAAAUGUCCCCAGGGUCCUGGGGGGACUUUGGCCCUAGCCACGCCCACCCCCUUCCUGAGUGAGCAUUUGGCAUGAAAUCAGGCCCAAGGCAUCCCCCAGUGGUGGGCGGGUUGCAGGACAGACCUCUGGGGUCAUUGUAGAUUUGCCACCAGCAACCUCAGGGACACUUACAAGUGUCACGACAGCGAAGAUCUUGACAACCACAAGAAGAGCCCAAGGUGCACUGUCCACCAGCCUGGCCACAGAGAGUGCCACCCCUGGUCCCAGGAGCCAGGACCUCGACCAUGGCCAGGGCCCAGGGGCCCUGGUCAUCAAUGUCCAUCUCCUGCUCCUGGCCUUGAAGGUGCUCCUGCUCCUGAGCAUGCUCAGUGCUGUCCUCUGGGUGAACAGGCCUCAGAGAAGCUCCAGGUCCAGGUGACGGGCAGCAUGACUGUGAAAACCAGUGACCUCUGCUGUCCUGAGGCCACCUCCAGGGACACCCCCUGCUGGAGGAGGGGACAACUCCUGACUUAUCUGCAUUUCUAUUAGAACCCUCUGAGGCCUUUGUGACCUUCUAGAAGCCUUUCCUUGGCUCAUCACAGACAUGGACAGGCGUGUCUAGUGCGUGCACUUCCAGCCAAGGCCACUGCAGCCCGUGUGCCCAGCCUGUCACGGGGCAUCGCUGAAGUGAUGCAGCUCUCUGGUCUCUUGUGCCUCCUUCCUACCCUCCUGGGGGGCCCUAACAGGGCUGCAUGCUCCUCCUCCACCUGCUUGAAGGUCUGCACUCCCAUGCGUAUGCUCCCCAGGGCGCGAGGUUUAGCUUUGCUCAUUGUUGAACUUUACAUAAACAGGAUUUUAUGUUCA